ACAAUGGUAGGAGAGCGUUCUAAGGGCGUUGAAGCAUGAUCGUAAGGACAUGUGGAGCGCUUAGAAGUGAGAAUGCCGGUGUGAGUAGCGAAAGACGGGUGAGAAUCCCGUCCACCGAUUGACUAAGGUUUCCAGAGGAAGGCUCGUCCGCUCUGGGUUAGUCGGGUCCUAAGCUGAGGCCGACAGGCGUAGGCGAUGGAUAACAGGUUGAUAUUCCUGUACCACCUAUAAUCGUUUUAAUCGAUGGGGGGACGCAGUAGGAUAGGCGAAGCGUGCGAUUGGAUUGCACGUCUAAGCAGUAAGGCUGAGUAUUAGGCAAAUCCGGUACUCAUUAAGGCUGAGCUGUGAUGGGGAGAAGACAUUGUGUCUUCGAGUCGUUGAUUUCACACUGCCGAGAAAAGCCUCUAGAUAGAAAAUAGGUGCCCGUACCGCAAACCGACACAGGUAGUCAAGAUGAGAAUUCUAAGGUGAGCGAGCGAACUCUCGUUAAGGAACUCGGCAAAAUGACCCCGUAACUUCGGGAGAAGGGGUGCUCUUUAGGGUUAACGCCCAGAAGAGCCGCAGUGAAUAGGCCCAAGCGACUGUUUAUCAAAAACACAGGUCUCUGCUAAACCGUAAGGUGAUGUAUAGGGGCUGACGCCUGCCCGGUGCUGGAAGGUUAAGAGGAGU
rnacentral:rRNA from 1 species